CUGUUGAUCCUGGCUUCGUGACGUACACAGUCUGGUGACGAAACCAGAUUCUGAGUCAGUAAGCCAGGGAAGCACAAGCAUUGUGGUGUGUGGUCAUAUGUUUGUGUGUAUGUGUGUUGGAGGGUACUAGUUACAGUUUGGGUUUAGAGGGAGCCUCUUCAAGGAAGUUUUCUUCUGGCUGAUAUCAAAUGGGAACCAGAUGGAGUGGAGUCUGAAAAGCAGAUAUGUGGAGUCUGGAUCGGUAGAUGCUGAGAUCCUGUGUUGAGUCAUGGGAGAAAUAACAGCCACAGCUGCCAUCCUUAAGUCGACUCAGAGGUCACUUCCUCCUCAUCAGGGAAGACUUCUGGAUCGGCGAGGCUCCCACUUACUCACUCAGCUGGCAGAGCAACGCUGACCCCUUGGAGAUCCAGUAAUCACUGAUCCUCUUGGAGGGUGACCCCUGUGAAGGGUCGUUUGACCUCCAAAGGGGUGGCAACCCAUGUGUUGAGCACUGCUGCUUUGAAGCCAGUGCUAUGAUCUGGUACAUCGACUACUUUGAGAGACUAAGGCCAGCUUUGACAGCCAAACAUGGGGAUGCGAUGGAGCUGUGAAGAUGGACAGAGAGCGAGGCUUCUUGGGGAGGGAUUUUUCCCCCCACAAAAGCCAUUUACCUGAGUCAGAGUAUGUGUGCACACAGAAUUGAAUACCAGGAAGCCAGUCUAAUCAACAGUGCCUAGAGAUAAGCAAAGAGUCAAGAAUUCAAGGACAAGCUGCAACAGACUAAGUAAUGUGUGGAACAGAUGGAAGGAAACCAAUGCUGGUUUGAAAGUUAUC
rnacentral:lncRNA from 1 species